rnacentral:tRNA from 2 species
UGUGCUUUUAGGCCAGGGGCGUUUUGAUUUCGGCUCAAAAAGAGUGGGUAGAACCACAAAAGUAUAU